rnacentral:sRNA from 1 species
CAAGCCCAGAUUGCCAGCUCUGGGUUGACCGUGGAGGUAGAUGCCCCCAAAUCUCAGGACCUCGCCAAGAUCAUGGCAGACAUCCGGGCCCAAUAUGACGAGCUGGCUCGGAAGAACCGAGAGGAGCUAGACAAGUACUGGUCUCAGCAGGUGCGUGAGGGGAGGGGAUGGCUGCCAAGGUGUGGGAGGGAGGCAGACGGAAUGAGGGGCCUGAUGGACUGUCCCCACCCUGCAGAUUGAGGAGAGCACCACAGUGGUCACCACACAGUCUGCUGAGGUUGGAGCUGCUGAGACGACGCUCACAGAGCUGAGACGUACAGUCCAGUCCUUGGAGAUCGACCUGGACUCCAUGAGAAAUCUGAAGGCCAGCUUGGAGAACAGCCUGAGGGAGGUGGAGGCCCGCUACGCCCUACAGAUGGAGCAGCUCAACGGGAUCCUGCUGCACCUUGAGUCAGAGCUGGCACAGACCCGGGCAGAGGGACAGCGCCAGGCCCAGGAGUAUGAGGCCCUGCUGAACAUCA